UUUCCGUAGGUGAACCUGCGGAAGGAUCAUUAUUGAAUAUUCUUGAUGAGUUGUAGCUGGCUCUUUGGAGCAUGUGCACGCUUGUCUUGAUCUUAUUCAUCCACCUGUGCACAUUUUGUAGUCUUUUGGGCUGGGUCGAGUAUCGGAUGGACGUCUAUCCGGAUGUGAGGACUGCUGAGUGCGAAAGCAUACGGCUCUUCUCUGUUUGACCUCACCCUUGAGUACUAUGUAUUCAUAUACCACAUAGUAUGUUGUAGAAUGUGAUCAUUGGGCCUUUGUGCCUAUAAUAAUCAUAUACAACUUUCAGCAACGGAUCUCUUGGCUCUC
rnacentral:misc_RNA from 1 species